CGGGACACGUGGUAUCCUGUCUGAAUAUGGGGGGACCAUCCUCCAAGGCUAAAUACUCCUGACUGACCGAUAGUGAACCAGUACCGUGAGGGAAAGGCGAAAAGAACCCCGGCGAGGGGAGUGAAAAAGAACCUGAAACCGUGUACGUACAAGCAGUGGGAGCACGCUUAGGCGUGUGACUGCGUACCUUUUGUAUAAUGGGUCAGCGACUUAUAUUCUGUAGCAAGGUUAACCGAAUAGGGGAGCCGAAGGGAAACCGAGUCUUAACUGGGCGUUAAGUUGCAGGGUAUAGACCCGAAACCCGGUGAUCUAGCCAUGGGCAGGUUGAAGGUUGGGUAACACUAACUGGAGGACCGAACCGACUAAUGUUGAAAAAUUAGCGGAUGACUUGUGGCUGGGGGUGAAAGGCCAAUCAAACCGGGAGAUAGCUGGUUCUCCCCGAAAGCUAUUUAGGUAGCGCCUCGUGAAUUCAUCUCCGGGGGUAGAGCACUGUUUCGGCAAGGGGGUCAUCCCGACUUACCAACCCGAUGCAAACUGCGAAUACCGGAGAAUGUUAUCACGGGAGACACACGGCGGGUGCUAACGUCCGUCGUGAAGAGGGAAACAACCCAGACCGCCAGCUAAGGUCCCAAAGUCAUGGUUAAGUGGGAAACGAUGUGGGAAGGCCCAGACAGCCAGGAUGUUGGCUUAGAAGCAGCCAUCAUUUAAAGAAAGCGUAAUAGCUCACUGGUCGAGUCGGCCUGCGCGGAAGAUGUAACGGGGCUAAACCAUGCACCGAAGCUGCGGCAGCGACGCUGAUGCGUUGUUGGGUAGGGGAGCGUUCUGUAAGCCUGCGAAGGUGUGCUGUGAGGCAUGCUGGAGGUAUCAGAAGUGCGAAUGCUGACAUAAGUAACGAUAAAGCGGGUGAAAAGCCCGCUCGCCGGAAGACCAAGGGUUCCUGUCCAACGUUAAUCGGGGCAGGGUGAGUCGACCCCUAAGGCGAGGCCGAAAGGCGUAGUCGAUGGGAAACAGGUUAAUAUUCCUGUACUUGGUGUUACUGCGAAGGGGGGACGGAGAAGGCUAUGUUGGCCGGGCGACGGUUGUCCCGGUUUAAGCGUGUAGGCUGGUUUUCCAGGCAAAUCCGGAAAAUCAAGGCUGAGGCGUGAUGACGAGGCACUACGGUGCUGAAGCAACAAAUGCCCUGCUUCCAGGAAAAGCCUCUAAGCAUCAGGUAACAUCAAAUCGUACCCCAAACCGACACAGGUGGUCAGGUAGAGAAUACCAAGGCGCUUGAGAGAACUCGGGUGAAGGAACUAGGCAAAAUGGUGCCGUAACUUCGGGAGAAGGCACGCUGAUAUGUAGGUGAAGUCCCUCGCGGAUGGAGCUGAAAUCAGUCGAAGAUACCAGCUGGCUGCAACUGUUUAUUAAAAACACAGCACUGUGCAAACACGAAAGUGGACGUAUACGGUGUGACGCCUGCCCGGUGCCGGAAGGUUAAUUGAUGGGGUCAGCGCAAGCGAAGCUCUUGAUCGAAGCCCCGGUAAACGGCGGCCGUAACUAUAACGGUCCUAAGGUAGCGAAAUUCCUUGUCGGGUAAGUUCCGACCUGCACGAAUGGCGUAAUGAUGGCCAGGCUGUCUCCACCCGAGACUCAGUGAAAUUGAACUCGCUGUGAAGAUGCAGUGUACCCGCGGCAAGACGGAAAGACCCCGUGAACCUUUACUAUAGCUUGACACUGAACAUUGAGCCUUGAUGUGUAGGAUAGGUGGGAGGCUUUGAAGUGUGGACGCCAGUCUGCAUGGAGCCGACCUUGAAAUACCACCCUUUAAUGUUUGAUGUUCUAACGUUGACCCGU
rnacentral:rRNA from 1 species